rnacentral:rRNA from 1 species
ACCUGCGGAAGGAUAUUA